rnacentral:rRNA from 1 species
GACGAAGGGGGCUAGCGUUGUUCGGAAUUACUGGGCGUAAAGCGCGUGUAGGCGGUUGCCAAAGUCGGGUGUGAAAGCCUUGAGCUCAACUCAAGAAUUGCACUCGAUACUUGGUGACUAGAGGACCGGAGAGGAUAGUGGAAUUCCCAGUGUAGUGGUGAAAUACGUAGAGAUUGGGAAGAACACCAGUGGCGAAGGCGGCUAUCUGAACGGUUUCUGACGCUAAGACGCGAAAGCGUGGGGAGCAAACAGG